rnacentral:rRNA from 1 species
CCUACGGGGGGCAGCAGUGGGGAAUUUUGCGCAAUGGGCGAAAGCCUGACGCAGCAACGCCGCGUGGGUGAUGAAGGUCUUCGGAUCGUAAAACCCUGUCGUUGGGGACGAAGGUGGGGGCGUUAAUAGCGUUUCUGCUUGACGGUACCCGGAGAGGAAGCCCCGGCUAACUCUGUGCCAGCAGCCGCGGUAAUACCGAGGGGGCAAGCGUGGUUCGGAAUUAUUGGGCGUAAAGGGCGCGUAGGGGGGUGUAAUCCCCGAGCUCAACGUGGGAACUGCAGCUGAGACUGGAAGGCUAGAGUACUGGAGAGGGUGGUGGAAUGCCUCGUGUAGCGGUGAAAUGCGUAGAGAUGAGGAGGAACACCAGUGGCGAAGGCGGCCACCUGGACAGUAACUGACGCUGAGGCGCGAAAGGGUGGGUAGCAAACAGGAGUAGAUACCCGAGUAGUC